AGAAAUACUCAAAAAUUUUAGUUCACAACAAAAAGAGUGCUUUAAAAUAACGAGUGAAUUUAAAAUGCACAAUUUGUGCAAAUAUAAACAAACAUCUACAGUAAUAACCGUAAAGACGGAAAUUAAACUUGAAUCAAGUGUUGGAAUCAAAAUCGAAUUAAAAACAGUCAAAUUCGAACAGCGUUAACGGCGAGACAGUG